UACGGAGGAUCCAAGCGUUAUCCGGAUUUAUUGGGUUUAAAGGGUGCGUAGGCGGCCUGUUAAGUCAGGGGUGAAAGACGGUAGCUCAACUAUCGCAGUGCCCUUGAUACUGAUGGGCUUGAAUGUACUAGGAGGUAGGCGGAAUGUGACAAGUAGCGGUGAAAUGCAUAGAUAUGUCACAGAACACCAAUUGCGAAGGCAGCUUACUAUGGGUAUGAUUGACGCUGAGGCACGAAAGCGUGGGGAUCAAACAGG
rnacentral:rRNA from 1 species